GCCUAGUUAGCUUGGUUGGUAGCGCGUCUGCCUUGUAAGCGCUAGGCCGUGGGUUCGAUUCCCGCCCGGGGCA
rnacentral:tRNA from 1 species